rnacentral:sRNA from 12 species
ACACACCGGCGUCCAAAUCUUGCCUCUGGCAUUUCCCUGUACGUUAGCGAUGACCGCGAGGUAGCAACGUGUGUGUCACCAUUCCGUGCUGGGUCCUCUGAUCAAGGAGCGCGGAUGGU